GACGAACGCUGGCGGCGUGCUUAACACAUGCAAGUCGAACGGAAAGGCCCUGCUUUUGUGGGGUGCUCGAGUGGCGAACGGGUGAGUAACACGUGAGUAACCUGCCCUUGACUUUGGGAUAACUUCAGGAAACUGGGGCUAAUACCGGAUAGGAGCUCCUGCUGCAUGGUGGGGGUUGGAAAGUUUCGGCGGUUGGGGAUGGACUCGCGGCUUAUCAGCUUGUUGGUGGGGUAGUGGCUUACCAAGGCUUUGACGGGUAGCCGGCCUGAGAGGGUGACCGGCCACAUUGGGACUGAGAUACGGCCCAGACUCCUACGGGAGGCAGCAGUGGGGAAUAUUGCACAAUGGGCGGAAGCCUGAUGCAGCAACGCCGCGUGCGGGAUGACGGCCUUCGGGUUGUAAACCGCUUUCGCCUGUGACGAAGCGUGAGUGACGGUAAUGGGUAAAGAAGCACCGGCUAACUACGCG
rnacentral:rRNA from 1 species